GAUGAACGCUGGCGGCGUGCCUAAUACAUGCAAGUCGAGCGAACAGAUAAGGAGCUUGCUCCUUUGACGUUAGCGGCGGACGGGUGAGUAACACGUGGGUAGCCUACCUAUAAGACUGGGAUAACUUCGGGAAACCGGAGCUAAUACCGGAUAACAUUUGGAACCGCAUGGUUCUAAAGUGAAAGAUGGUUUUGCUAUCACUUAUAGAUGGACCCGCGCCGUAUUAGCUAGUUGGUAAGGUAACGGCUUACCAAGGCAACGAUACGUAGCCGACCUGAGAGGGUGAUCGGCCACACUGGAACUGAGACACGGUCCAGACUCCUACGGGAGGCAGCAGUAGGGAAUCUUCCGCAAUGGGCGAAAGCCUGACGGAGCAACGCCGCGUGAGUGAUGAAGGGUUUCGGCUCGUAAAACUCUGUUAUUAGGGAAGAACAAACGUGUAAGUAACUGUGCACGUCUUGACGGUACCUAAUCAGAAAGCCACGGCUAACUACGUG
rnacentral:rRNA from 1 species